CGGAGAGAUGGUCGAGUUGGUUUAAGGCACCGGUCUUGAAAACCGGCGUGCGUGUGAGCGUACCAUGGGUUCGAAUCCCAUUCUCUCCGCCAC
rnacentral:tRNA from 1 species